rnacentral:rRNA from 1 species
GACGAACGUUGGCGGCGUGCUUAAUACAUGCAAGUCAACUGAAGCAGUGGUAGCAAUAUCGCUGUGGAGGUGGCGCACGGGUGAGUAACACGUAGGUAAUCUGCCUUCAGGUCUGGCAUAACUCCGGGAAACCGGGGCUAAUAGCAGAUGAUGCAGCGGCUCGACAUCGAGACAGUUGUUAAAGCUAUGGCGCCUGAAGAUGAGCCUGCGUCUGAUUAGCUAGUUGGCGGGGUAACGGCCCACCAAGGCAACGAUCAGUAGCUGGUCUGAGAGGAUGAUCAGCCACACUGGAACUGAGACACGGUCCAGACUCCUACGGGAGGCAGCAGUAAGGAAUAUUGCUCAAUGGGAGAAAUCCUGAAGCAGCAACGCAGCGGGAGGGACGAAGGGCUUUUGCUUGUAAACCUCUGUAGUGAGAGAAAAAAAUCCCAAUCUUUGGGACAUGAUGGUAUCUCAAAAGUAAGCCCCGGCUAACUACGUG